rnacentral:rRNA from 1 species
CCUACGGGAGGCUGCAGUGGGGAAUAUUGGACAAUGGGGGCAACCCUGAUCCAGCCAUGCCGCGUGUGUGAAGAAGGCCCUCGGGUUGUAAAGCACUUUCAGUGAGGAAGAACGCCUGGUGGUUAAUACCCAUCAGGAAAGACAUCACUCACAGAAGAAGCACCGGCUAACUCCGUGCCAGCAGCCGCGGUAAUACGGAGGGUGCGAGCGUUAAUCGGAAUUACUGGGCGUAAAGCGCGCGUAGGUGGCUUGAUAAGCCGGUUGUGAAAGCCCCGGGCUCAACCUGGGAACGGCAUCCGGAACUGUCAAGCUAGAGUGCAGGAGAGGAAGGUAGAAUUCCCGGUGUAGCGGUUAAAUGCGUAGAGAUCGGGAGGAAUACCAGUGGCGAAGGCGGCCUUCUGGACUGACACUGACACUGAGGUGCGAAAGCGUGGGUAGCAAACAGGAUUAGAUACCCCGGUAGUC